UCCGUAGGCGGGCAAUUAAGUCAGAGGUGAAAUCCCACAGCUCAACUGUGGAACUGCCUUUGAUACUGGUUGUCUUGAGUUACAGUGAAGUAGAUAGAAUAUGUAGUGUAGCGGUGAAAUGCAUAGAUAUUACAUAGAAUACCGAUUGCGAAGGCAGUCUACUAACUGUCGACUGACGCUAAGGGACGAAAGCGUGGGGAGCGAACAGGAUAGAUACCCUGGUAGUCC
rnacentral:rRNA from 1 species